CCUUGUUAGAACCGUAAUGCCAUUAAUUUUGGUGUUGCGGGGAAACAGGACUGUUACUUUGAAAAAAUUAGAGUUGUUUAAAGCAGGCUCGCGCUUGAAUACAUUAGCAUGGAAUAAUGAAAUAGGACGUUGAUCCUAUUUUGUUGGUUUCUAGGAUUGACGUAAUGAUUAAUAGGGAUAGUUGGGGGCAUUAGUAUUCAAUUGUCAGAGGUGAAAUUCUUGGAUUUAUUGAAGACUAACUACUGCGAAAGCAUUUGCCAAGGAUGUUUUCAUUAAUCAAGAACGAAAGUUAGGGGAUCGAAGACGAUCAGAUACCGUCGUAGUCUUAACCAUAAACUAUGCCGACUAGGGAUCGGAUGAUGUUAAUUUUUUAAUGACU
rnacentral:rRNA from 1 species